GACGAACGCUGGCGGCGUGCUUAACACAUGCAAGUCGAACGGAAAGGCCCUGCUUUUGUGGGGUGCUCGAGUGGCGAACGGGUGAGUAACACGUGAGUAACCUGCCCUUGACUUUGGGAUAACUUCAGGAAACUGGGGCUAAUACCGGAUAGGAGCUCCUGCUGCAUGGUGGGGGUUGGAAAGUUUCGGCGGUUGGGGAUGGACUCGCGGCUUAUCAGCUUGUUGGUGGGGUAGUGGCUUACCAAGGCUUUGACGGGUAGCCGGCCUGAGAGGGUGACCGGCCACAUUGGGACUGAGAUACGGCCCAGACUGCUACGGGAGGCAGCAGGGGAGAAUAUUGCACAAUGGGCGGAAGCCUGAUGCAGCAACGCCGCGUGCGGGAUGACGGCCUUCGGGUUAUAAACCGCUUUCGCCUGUGACGAAGCGUGAGUGACGGUAAUGGGUAAAGAAGCACCGGCUAACUACGUG
rnacentral:rRNA from 1 species